rnacentral:rRNA from 1 species
ACGAACGCUGGCGGCAGGCCUAAUACAUGCAAGUCGAACGCUUGUAGCAAUACAAGAGUGGCGCACGGGUGCGUAACACGUGGGAAUAUGCCUUUUGGUACGGAACAACUCCGGGAAACUGGAGCUAAUACCGUAUGGUCCCUUCGGGGUAAAGAUUUAUCGCCAAAAGAUUAGCCCGCGUCUGAUUAGCUAGUUGGUGAGGUAAUGGCUCACCAAGGCGACGAUCAGUAGCUGGUCUGAGAGGAUGAUCAGCCACACUGGGACUGAGACACGGCCCAGACUCCUACGGGAGGCAGCAGUAGGGAAUAUUGGACAAUGGGCGCAAGCCUGAUCCAGCCAUGCCGCGUGAGUGAUGAAGGCCUUCGGGUUGUAAAGCUCUUUAGCCCGCGAAUAAAAUGACUGUAGCGGGAAAAUAAGCCCCGGCUAACUUCGUGCCAGCAGCCGCGGUAAU